UAUGUGGAAUCAGUUCUAAAAGCGUAGC
rnacentral:piRNA from 1 species